GUCGAGCGGACAGAUGGGAGCUUGCUCCCUGAUGUUAGCGGCGGACGGGUGAGUAACACGUGGGUAACCUGCCUGUAAGACUGGGAUAACUCCGGGAAACCGGGGCUAAUACCGGAUGGUUGUUUGAACCGCAUGGUUCAAACAUAAAAGGUGGCUUCGGCUACCACUUACAGAUGGACCCGCGGCGCAUUAGCUAGUUGGUGAGGUAAUGGCUCACCAAGGCAACGAUGCGUAGCCGACCUGAGAGGGUGAUCGGCCACACUGGGACUGAGACACGGCCCAGACUCCUACGGGAGGCAGCAGUAGGGAAUCUUCCGCAAUGGACGAAAGUCUGACGGAGCAACGCCGCGUGAGUGAUGAAGGUUUUCGGAUCGUAAAGCUCUGUUGUUAGGGAAGAACAAGUACCGUUCGAAUAGGGCGGUACCUUGACGGUACCUAACCAGAAAGCCACGGCUAACUACGUGCCAGCAGCCGCGGUAAUACGUAGGUGGCAAGCGUUGUCCGGAAUUAUUGGGCGUAAAGGGCUCGCAGGCGGUUUCUUAAGUCUGAUGUGAAAGCCCCCGGCUCAACCGGGGAGGGUCAUUGGAAACUGGGGAACUUGAGUGCAGAAGAGGAGAGUGGAAUUCCACGUGUAGCGGUGAAAUGCGUAGAGAUGUGGAGGAACACCAGUGGCGAAGGCGACUCUCUGGUCUGUAACUGACGCUGAGGAGCGAAAGCGUGGGGAGCGAACAGGAUUAGAUACCCUGGUUAGUCCACGCCGUAAACGAUGAGUGCUAAGUGUUAGGGGGUUUCCGCCCCCUUAGUGCUGCAGCUAACGCAUUAUGCACUCCGCCUGGCGCAGUACGGUCCGCGAAGACUGAAACCUCAAAGAUAUUGAACGGCGGGCCCCGCACCAAGCUGUUAGGGAGCAUG
rnacentral:rRNA from 1 species